GACGGAGGAUGCAAGUGUUAUCCGGAAUCACUGGGCGUAAAGCGUCUGUAGGCGGUUUAAAAAGUCCACUGUUAAAGGUUGAAGCUUAACUUCAAAAAUGCCGUGGAAACUUUUAAACUUGAGUAUGGUAGGGGUAGAGGGAAUUUCCAGUGGAGCGGUGAAAUGCGUAGAUAUUGGAAAGACCACCGAUGGCGAAGGCACUCUACUGGGCCAUUACUGACACUGAGAGACGAAAGCUAGGGGAGCAAAUGGG
rnacentral:rRNA from 1 species